CAAGUACUCCCUCCGUCCGGAAAUACUUGUCGGGGAAAUGAAUGUAUCUAGAUGUAUUUCAGUUUUAGAUACAUCCAUUUCGAUCCAUUUUUGCGACAAGUAAUUUCGGACGGAGGGAGUACAUC
rfam:Triticum aestivum genome assembly, contig: Triticum_aestivum_CS42_TGACv1_scaffold_374566_5AL